rnacentral:snoRNA from 1 species
CGGAGAGUGAUGAUAUUUGCCGCCCCAGACUGAAAACUGACGAUGUAGCAAAAUCUGACUUCG